rnacentral:rRNA from 1 species
UACGUAGGUGGCAAGCGUUUGUCCGGAUUUAUUGGGUUUAAAGGGUGCGUAGGCGGCUUUGUAAGUCAGUGGUGAAAUAUGGCAGCUCAACUUCGGAACUGCCCUUGAUACAGCACGUCUUGAGUCCGAUAGAGGUGGGUGGAAUUCCUAGUGUAGAGGUGAAAUUCGUAGAUAUUAGGAAGAACACCGGUGGCGAAGGCGGCCCACUGGGAUCGGUACUGACGCUGAGGUGCGAAAGCGUGGGGGAGCAAACAGG